CAGAGAAGGUUAGCAUGACCCCUGUGCAAGGAUGACAUGUAAAUUCAUGAAGUGCUCCAUAUUGUU
rnacentral:snRNA from 1 species